UCUCUCUCUCUCUCUCUCUCUCUCUCUCUCUCUCUCUCUCUCUCUCUCUCUUUAGUUCGAUCUAUUCUAAGACAAGAACACUAGGAUUAGAACACGUUAUCAGCACGAUCCAGCUCCAAGAUCAACCAUCAAUAGUUUCUAAUAAAGGAACCAAAGAAAAGAUCGGCAAAGUUAAAGUGCAGAUAGAAUUAUAUGAAUUAAUGGAGAUAAGACUUACAAGAAAUCUGCAUCAUAGCGCAAAGAGUACCGUCAAACGUAGAUCCGAUAAGACGGCUCAGGUGAUACAGUUAGGCAUGAAUCCUCAUAAGGAGACUCUGUUGCUCUACUAUUAGGUCUCUUUUCUCCAAUGAAGGGAAGCACGGUGGAGAGCUGACCGUGCAAGCUGUACGCUUGAUUGCUAAUGAAGUCAAAACUUAAAAUUGCCAACUUCAUCCUAACUAUACUGAGGUGUACAUGUCCAUACGCUUUGACGAGGAUAUCGGAAAGCGUGACAGAGAGGAUGCCAAUGAGAGGAAGGAAACGAAGCGAGAAAUGUUGUCCAAGAUCAGAGACGAGGUUACUGCUGAUUACAAGGGAGCUACCUAUGAACCAGAUGCUAUAGAGCGAAGAAAGAUGCAGACAGAGACUCUUUCUGCUGUUUUUGAAACCUUUUUCCAUAUCCUGAGCGCAGAAGAAGACACAACGUUGAAUCCUGGUGGCUUGGAUGGCUUGGCCAACAAUUAGACUUGGACUACAUCGAAGAUCUCUUUAAAAAAAAAAACAGAGUUUUGUCUGAGAAAGAAAACCUGCUGCCACAAGACAAAUCCUCUCAACACUGUCCUGACCAAAAAAGCCUCUCAACACUGUCUUUUUCUAUCACAAAAGCUCCAGACUUGCAAAGGCCGUUCGAUCUAGAAGUGUUCACCGCCACGAGACGUUGCUAAUCUAAACCAUCAAAAAAAGUCACGACACAGAGAAACAAAACUUGAGCUUCACUGUCAACACUAAGCUGCGUCCAAGAUAAGUCCCAAGUCUAUGUAUUAAGGUGCUUCUUCAUCACUAUAGUCAAGGUAUCUCUGGUUUCCAUCUGAGACAGAACAAAGGAUAGAACUUGAGAAAAGAACAUUGCUGAAUGGUUUAGAAUAAUAGUGCUGGUAUCGUGUGUUGGAUUGAGUUUGUGGACUGGCUAACAUUUAUAGGCUUGGAUUCCAAGCAUUUGAUAGAGGUGGAAAGAGAAGCCAUCUUCUUCAUGAGACAUAUUAGAAGAAUGAAAUAGGUAAAGGAAACCUAGAUUCAUAGUGAGACAAAUAGGUCACAAUUAUUCCUCUGAGAGAGAUCAACUAAGCUCUCCAAGUUCAAAAGAAACAUCCGAGUGAAGCCAUGUGAUACUCUCCAAGUUUAGGCCUGAAUAGAUCUCACACUAAGUUUGUUCUCCAUGGUGAAGAAAACCAUUUGCCUACUUCACAAGCCUCCUACUUCAACUACCCUUGCUCAUCUCAAGUCAUCUUCAUUUCUGGUUCAUUUUCAGCCUCUUGGCUUUUACCCGAUGCUAAGUUUGCGGGGAAGUAUUAGAGAACAAACCGAAGUCAGGUCCAAGACCCAUGUAUGUUAGGAUCUUCUACAUUACUAACAAAGGAGAAAGGGGUAGGGUCUUUCUCAACGAAGCUUAUGCUGGUUAUAGUUUGAUCAAAGAAUACCAAUUAUUAAUAUUAUUGUUCCAAGAGAGAUUCGUUGCACUCUGUGGACGGAGAGAAGUAAGUGUAAUGAAAUGCAGGCUUCAAGUGUUAUCUUCUGAUCUUACACCAAACCAGAGUCGUGUACCCCACCCCCCCAAGGCAUUUGUUACCCAUUGUUUUUGUUCCAACAAAUUGAUAGAACCGUAUUUUAUAAAUUACGGAUUACUGAAUAUUGCAAAGAAUAAAAUAAUAAAAUUAUACCAAAUAGUAAAAAAAUGAUGAUAUAACUGCAGAGACGAGAUAUUAUUUUUUUU